rnacentral:rRNA from 1 species
UAGAACAAAAGAUUUAACAUUUUAACCCUUUUAUUUAUAUUAAAAAUUUAAUUUAUUCUAAAUGUAAAAAAACAUUUAUUCAAAAGAAAGACGAUAAGACCCUAUCGAACUUAACUUAAGUUUAACUGGGGCAGUACAUUAAUUAUAAUUUUAAUUUCCUUUUAUAUAAAAAUAUCCAAUAAAAUUGAAUUAUCCAGUUACCGUAGGGAUAACAGCGCAAUUAUUUUUUAAAGUUCUUAUAUAAAAAAUAGAUUACGACCUCGAUGUUGAAUUAAUAUCCUAAUUAAAGCAAAUUUUAAUAUUUUUAAGGAAGUCUGUUCGACUUUUAAAUAAUUACAUGAUUUGAGUUCAGACCGGUAUAAGCCAGGUCGGUUUCUAUCUUCUAAUCAAUUUUUUACAGUACGAAAGGACCUAAAAAUCUUAAUUAAUUAAUUAAUUGGCAGAAAAAUGCAUUAGAAUUAGAAUCUAAUAAAACUAAA